rnacentral:rRNA from 1 species
UACAGAGGGUGCGAGCGUUGUCCGGAAUCACUGGGCGUAAAGGGCGCGUAGGCGGCCUGAUAAGUCGGGGGUGAAAUCCUGUGGCUCAACCACAGGGCUGCCUCCGGGACUGUCGGGCUCGAGCACAGUAGAGGCAGGUGGAAUUCCCGGUGUAGCGGUGGAAUGCGUAGAGAUCGGGAAGAACAUCGGUGGCGAAGGCGGCCUGCUAGGCUGUUGCUGACGCUGAGGCGCGACAGCGUGGGGAGCAAACAGG